CGAUCUUCAGUCUUCACCCUAUAAUUUUUUCGUGACUUUAGUCGUAUGAGCAACACUUGUUCUUCGCUCUCGAGUCCGGCGGUCGGUCUAUGCCCUUCCCACCGUCGCACUGUAGAGCUCGUCCCCCCUCUCCCAAUAUCUUUCACUUUCUGCUUGGUGAGAGGCGGCGGAAUGGCUAGAUCCGGCCGCCACCUCCGGUUCGGCGGGGAGAAGGCGGCGGACUUGAUCCGGAGAUGCGGCGAAGGAGGUAUCAUCUACGGUUGCAUUUUCCUCUACAUUUCCGUGUCCAGUGGCCAGAUCUUCUUCAACAAGUGAGAUCAACUUCCCAUAUCCUGUUGCAUUAACUUUCCUGCACAUGCUGUUCUCUUCAGUAUUGUGCUUUCUACUCACCCAAGUUUUCAAGAUUUUAACGAUUGAAGGGGGGGAUGACUUCAGACAUGGCAAUUCACCCCGCUUGUCGGCCGCUAGGGAACAACAAUUGACAUCAGAGUAAGGUUCGGUUCAGAAGGACUAGCCGUCGACCAAAGCACAAGAGAUGAUCGGACCGAGCAUCUAUCCACCGAAAUUCGAGGGGGAAUUCGCGAACUGGAAGAAAAAGAUAGAGAUAUAUCACAUCAGUCAUUCCAAUUGGUGCCAUGUUUGCAAUGACUCUUUGGCUCGGAAAUAUUGCCUACCUCUAUAUAUCAGUUGCAUUUGCUCAAAUGCUGAAAGCACUAUGCCUGUUGCUGUGUUUUUCCUUGGAGCUGCAGCAGGCCUUGAAGCAAUGAGUUGCAAAAUGUUCACGAUCAUGUUGGCAAUCAGCAUUGGUGUAGUUGUAGCCUCAUAUGGGGAGAUCAGCAUUAGCUGGGUUGGAGUGGUUUACAGGAUGGGUGGUGUUGUUGGUGAGGCCUCCAGACUAAUCUUCAUGGAAAUAUUUGUGAAGAAAAAGGGUGUGCGACUGAACCCAAUAUCAAUGAUGUAGUAUGUCAGUCCUUGCAGAUUUGUUAGAUCUGGAUACAAGAACUAGACUCUAUUCCAUUAUUAUCGCCAACUCUGGGAAGACUUACUCAACAUUUAUUAGAUGAAAGAGAAACUUUUGUUCUAGCCACUUUUGAUAGCUCUCCACCAGAAUGGUUGUCUACACAAAUAGAACAGCUAGACACUUGAUUAAACUUGAUGUUCAAGGCCUCAACAUUCAGUUAACAGCUUUUGAAGAUUACCCUUCUCAUCCAGACAGAGAAUGACUUUCAUCAAAGAUCUUAGUAAUCUUUCCUUCGGAAAAAUUGUUCCUAAGAUACCACCAGUUACUUCUAAAUUUUUAACAUAUAAACCCAAUGAGUCUGACAAAAAUUGAACCUUUUUCUGAUAUUUCUAGAUCUGUUAGAUCUGGAUACAAGAACUAGACUCUAUUCCAUUAUUAUCGUCAACUCUGGGAAGACUUACUCAACAUUUAUUAGAAGAAAGAGAAACUUUUGUUCUAGCCAAUUUUGAUAGCUCUCCACCAGAAUGGUUGUCUACACAAACAGAAUCAGCUAGACACUUGAUUAAACUUGAUGUUCAAGGCCUCAACAUUCAGUUAACAGCUUUUGAAGAUUACCUUUCUCAUCCAGACAGAGAAUGACUUUCAUCAAAAUCACUGUCUGAACAACUCAAACACUGGAGAGCUUCUCUUUAAGGGAGUUCUUGGUUAUGGGAUCCAUAUUUGAAUGUUUGUCACAGUACUUUGUGCCUUUUUGUUCCUUGGAUUUUAUUGGAGAAACCAAAGAUGGAUUCAAGCGGACCCUGGAACUUCCCACUGAUCACAUUGGCCCUCAAUUGUCUUUGUACAUUCACACUCAACCUGUGUUUUCCUCGUGAUUUCUCGUUCAAGUGCGCUGACGAUCCGUGUAGCUGGAGUCAUCAGGGACUGGGUUGUAGUUUUGCUUUCAGCUUUGCUAUUUUCAGAUUCAAAGUUGACAAUCAUCAACCUAAUUGGUUAUGGUGUAGCUCUUGCAGGCGUUGUGGCAUACAACAACCACAAGUUGGAAAAAGAGGUAUCCCAAGGAAAACCCAUAGUCAAUAAUUUUGAUGCCCAUGGAAGCACGCAAGAUGUCGAAGACCGGGUAUCUUUGGUUCCGCUAUGAGAGAGUUCUUGAGAGAGGUAAGAUUCACAUUUUGUGACUGCUUAACUUUUCAUACCACUCUCCUAAAGAAGGAACCAACUUUGUCUGUAAAACAUGAACAAAAAAAGAUGUAUAGAAAGGCAUUGAAAUUUCAUCAUUAAGAGCAGCUUCUUUCC